rnacentral:rRNA from 1 species
AUUGAACGCUGGCGGCAUGCCUAACACAUGCAAGUCGAACGGCAGCACAGUAAGUAGCAAUACUUGUGGGUGGCGAGUGGCGGACGGGUGAGUAAUGCGUAGGAAUCUGUCUUGGAGAGUGGAAUAACCCGGGGAAACUCGGGCUAAUACCGCAUGAAGUCGAGAGACCAAAGUAGGGGACCGUAAGGCCUUACGCUCUGAGUUGAGCCUACGUCGGAUUAGCUAGUUGGUGGGGUAAAGGCCUACCAAGGCGACGAUCCGUAGCUGGUCUGAGAGGACGACCAGCCACACUGGGACUGAGACACGGCCCAGACUCCUACGGGAGGCAGCAGUGGGGAAUUUUGGACAAUGGGGGCAACCCUGAUCCAGCGAUGCCGCGUGUGUGAAGAAGGCCUGAGGGUUGUAAAGCACUUUAGGUGGGGAGGAAGGUAUUUGUUCUAAUAAAGCAGAUAAUUGACGUUACCCACAGAAUAAGCACCGGCUAACUCUGUGCCAGCAGCCGCUGUAACAC